CCCACAUCUAAAAGCUGAAAUUACAUAUAUAUAUAUAUAUAUAUAUAUAUAUAUAUAUAUAGAGAGAGAGAGAGAGAGAGAGAGAGAGAGAGAGAGAGAGAGAAGUGCUAUUGUGGAUGGAUUGACAGGCAGAGCUCUCUAGGAUGGAUCCUGAAACCUGAAGGACUCUCUCAAGCACCAAACCUUAGAUUCUAAAGAUGUACCACUUAAAUAUGUUUCUUUUCAGGUCGUUUUUCUUAACGUUUUGUGUGGCUGUCCAUGGGAUUUGAUGUUAGAAAGCAGGAGCUGAGCUGACCUCCUUCUGUUUUCCUGCCUCUCAUGCUGCUUUGAUCUUGGAUGGGUUGCCCAGCUUUGACUCACGCAGAAGAAGUGGUGUGAGAAGAAGAGCCUCAGACUUCACGGGCUCCAGGGAAGUCAGGUGCUGUUCAGAGAUGAAACAAUUUGCAAAGCAUAUACCUGAUAAAAGACUGGUUCCAAAAUAUUCAGAGAACUCUCAUAUUUCAAAAAUAUGAAAACAAACAAUCCAAUUUAGAGAUGGACAAAAAAAGCUGAACCAACCUUUUACCAAAGAAGACAUAUAGAAGGCAAAUAAGCAUAUGAGAAGAUGCCCAGUGUCAUGUCAUUAGAGAACUACAGGUUAAAACAACAAUGAGAUGCCAGCACACACCCAUUGGAAUGGCCAAAGUCCAAACCAUGGACACCACCAAGUGCUGACAAAGAUAUGGCUGAAGGGAAUUCUGCACCACGUGAAAUAGUACAGCUAUUUUGGAAGACAGUGUAGCAGUUCCUUACAAGCUAAAUAUACUCUUACCACAAGAUACACACCUUGAAACUCAUCCAAAUGGUUUGAAAAUUUUUGUCUACACAAAAACCUGCAUGUGGAUGUUUAUAGCAGCUUUAUUCAUAAUUGCCAAAACUUGGAAGCAACCAAGAUGUCUUUUUUUUUUUUUUUUUUUUUUUUUGAGACAGAGUCUCACCCUGUCACCCAGGCUGGUGGGAUCUUAACUCACUGCAACCUCCGCCUCCCUGGUUAAAGUGAUUCUCCUGCCUCAGCCUCCCUAGUAGCUGGGAUUACAGGCACUCACCACCACACCCUGCUAAUUUUUGUAUUUUUAGUACAGAUGAGAUUUCGCCAUGUUGGCCAGGCUUGUCUCAAACUCCUGACCUCAAGUGAUCCGUCCACCUUGGCUUCUCAAACUUCUGGGAUGAUAGAUGUGAGCCGCCACACCUGGCCCAAGACGUCUUUCAGUAGAUGAGUGGCUAGACUGUGGCACAUCCAGACAGUGAAAUAUUAUUCAGCACUGAAAGAAAUGAGCUAUCAAGCCAUACAAUGACAUGAAAGGACCUUAAAUGCUUACUGCUAAGUGAAAGAUGCCAAUCUGGAAAGGUUGCGUACCGGAUGAUUCCAGCUACACAACAUGCUGGGAAAGGUGGAACAAUGGAGACGGUGAAAAGGUCAGUGGUUUCCAGGGGUUCUGGGGAGGGAGCAAUGGACAAGUGAAGCACAGAGGAAUUUUAGGGCAGUGAAGCUCCUCCGGAUGAGACUGUAAUAGUGGAUUUACAUCAUCGUGCACGUGUCCAAACCCAUAGGCUGCACAAGGGCAAGAAGGAAUCCUCAGUGAGCUGUGAACUUUAGUUAAUAGUCAUCUGCGGAUAUUGACUCCCCAAUUGUAACAAAUAUACCAAACUCUUGCAAGAUGUUAACAACAGGGGAACUGGGAGGUGAGGUGGAGGUGCUGGGGGCGGGGGCUCUAUGAGAACUUUCUGUGCUUCUCAUUCAUUUUCCUGUAAACCCAAAACUAC
rnacentral:lncRNA from 10 species